ACGUCUCCAACGUCCGCGGAGGACAUUU
rnacentral:rRNA from 1 species